UCAUCAUGCCCUUACUGACCUGGGCUACACACGUGCUACAAUGGUUGGUACAACGAGGUUGCGAGUCGGUGACGGCGAGCUAAUCUACUUAAAGCCAAUCUCAGUUCGGAUUGUAGGCUGCAACUCGCCUAACAUGAAGUCGGAAUCGCUAGUAAUCGCGGAUCAGCACGCCGCGGUGAAUACGUUCCCGGGCCUU
rnacentral:rRNA from 1 species